rnacentral:misc_RNA from 1 species
GUAUAGGUUUAUAGGCACAAAGGCCAUUGAUUACAUUCUACGACAUACAUUGGGGUAUAUGAAGAAACAUAGACCUAGAAAUGUAAAGAGAGGCAGAGAGCCAAUCCUCAAACCCGAAUGGCUAGCAUUCAGAGAGAGACCCAGGUCUACAAAAGUGCACAGGUGGAGAUAUAAAGAUGACAAGUGUGCACAUGCUCCCUAGAGAACCAGCAUCAACUCAUCAGAUUUAUUUCAAUAAUGAUCCUUCCGCAGGUUCACCUACGGAAA